rnacentral:rRNA from 1 species
AGCGAACGCUGGCGGCAGGCCUAAUACAUGCAAGUAGAACGGAUCCUUCGGGACUAGUGGCGGACGGGUGAGUAACACGUGGGAACGUGCCCUUUGGUUCGGAACAACUCAGGGAAACUUGAGCAAAUAACGGAUGUGCUCUUCGGGGGAAAGAUUUAUCGUCAAUGGAGCGGGCCGCGUCUGAUUAGCUAGCUGGUGAGGUAACGGCCCACCAAGGCGACUAGCAGUAGCUGGGCUUAGCGGAUGAUCAGACACACUGGGACUGGGACACGGCGGAGACUCCUACGGGAGGCAGGAAUUGUGAAUCAUGCACAAUGGGCGAAAGCAUGAGGCAGCCAGGCCGCAUGGAUGUGGUGGAUCUUAGGAUUGUGAAAGUCUUUCAACGGUGACGAUAAUGACGGUACCCGAAGAGAAAGCGCCGGCUAACUUCGUG